rnacentral:rRNA from 1 species
ACGCUCGACACCUACGGAAGGCAGCAGUAGGGAAUCUUCCACAAUGGACGCAAGUCUGAUGGAGCAACGCCGCGUGAGUGAAGAAGGUCUUCGGAUCGUAAAACUCUGUUGUUAGAGAAGAACACGAGUGAGAGUAACUGUUCAUUCGAUGACGGUAUCUAACCAGCAAGUCACGGCUAACUACGUGUCAGCAGCCGCGGUAAUCUGAGCGGGCUGGCAAGGC